UGAAUACGAGAUGCUACGGCGUCGAAGCAGUCUAUGUCAUACUUCCAAGAAAAGCUUGCACUGUCAUAAACAAAUAAUGCCUGUACCAUAACCGACACAGGUGGGUAGGUAGAGUAUACUAAGGGGCGCGAGAUAACUCUCUCUAAGGAACUCGGCAAAAUGACUCCGUAACUUCGGGAGAAGGAGUGCCUUAUUUUAUAAGGUUGCAAUAACAAGAUCCAAGCAACUGUUUACCAAAAACACAGGUCUCCGCUAAGUCGUAAGACGAUGUAUGGGGGCUGACGCCUGCCCAGUGCCAGAAGGUUAAAGAAGUUGGUUAGCAUCCGCGAAGCUGAUAACUGAAGCCCUGGUGAACGGCGGCCGUAACAAUAACGGUCCUAAGGUAGCGAAAUUCCUUGUCGGGUAAGUUCCGACCCGCACGAAAGGCGUAAUGAUUUGGAUACUGUCUCAGAGAGGGGCUCGGUGAAAUAGACUUGUCUGUGAAGAUGCGGACUACCUACACCAGGACAGAAAGACCCUAUGAAGCUUUACUGUAACUUGAAAUUGAAAUUGGACUUUACUUGCGCAGUAUAGGUGGGAGGCGUUGAUAAUAUUCUUGCGGGAAUGUUGGAGCCAUCAGUGAGAUACCACUCUUGUAAUGUUAGAUUUCUAACUUUGUAUCAUUAUCUGGUCAAAGGACAGUUUCAGGCGGGCAGUUUGACUGGGGCGGUCGCCUCCCAAACGGUAACGGAGGCGCACAAAGGUUUCCUCUGAACGGGUAGAAAUCGUAUCUAGAGUGUAAAGGCAUAAGGAAGCUUGACUGUGAGACCUACAAGUCGAGCAGGGACGAAAGUCGGUCUUAGUGAUCUGACGGUGCUGAGUGGAAAGGCCGUCACUCAACGGAUAAAAGUUACUCUAGGAUAACAGGCUGAUCUCCCCCAAGAGUUCACAUCGACGGGGAGGUUUGGCACCUCGAUGUCGGCUCAUCGCAUCCUGGGGCGGUAGUACGUCCCAAGGGUUGGGCUGUUCGCCCAUGAAAGCGGUACGCGAGCUGGGUUCAGAACGUCGUGAGACAGUUCGGUCCAUAUCCGGUGUAGGCGUUAGAAUAUUGAGAGGAGCCUUCUUUAGUACGAGAGGACCGAGAAGGACAUACCUCUGGUGUACCAGUUAUCGUGCCAACGGUAAACGCUGGGUAGCUAUGUAUGGAGUGGAUAACCGCUGAAAGCAUCUAAGUGGGAAGCCCACCUCAAGAUAAGUAUUCU
rnacentral:rRNA from 1 species